GAAUUAUUAAGAUUAAGUUAGACAAGUUAAAUUCAAUAGCUUGAUAUAUUUUUGACACUUUCAUAUAUGAUACAUAACCAAUAAAUAAUUAUAUGAUUUAAAAAUAAUUAAAAAUAAAAAAAAACUAAAGAAAAAAAAUGGAUGAAACAGAACAAAUAUCAGAAACAUUACAUAUGAUUCAUGGAAAUUCUAAUACAUUAAAUGAAAUAAUUUUUCAUGCAGUAUAUAUACCUGAAGAAAAUCUUAAUUUUUCAAUGGAAAACAAUAUUAAAGACAAUAUUCGAGUAUAUCAAGAUAAAGCAGAAGCAUUAAAAGUAAUUAAGGAAUUUAAGACUGGUCGUUUAAAAUCAUUUAAAAUACGAUCAGAAGCUGAAGAAUAUGCAAAAACUGGUUUUGAAAAAGCAAAUAAUAUAAAUAGUACCUCAAUAAAUACAACAAUAUCUAUAAUAGAAGAAAAAUCAAAUAAUUUUAAAGCUCCAAGAUCUCAAGAUCUUGUAUGUUUUAGAAAGUUAAUUAAAGAUGGAGAUCUAUAUGCUGUAAAAAAUACAGUAUGGGGAAAUCCACGAUAUUUAAUUGGUAGUGGAGAUACACCUGCAAUUCUGCAAGAAGGAUGCCGCUAUAAUGCAUUACAUAUUGCAGUUAGAGCAGAUAGACCUGAUAUGUGUGAGUUAAUAUUAAACACUGUUGGAAAUACAGAUUUUAUAAAGUUACUUUAUGGUGAUGAAUGCAAGAGUUAUGUAGAUCGUGCACAGAUUAUAUUAGAUUUAUAUUUAAAUACACCUGAUAAGGGAUUGAAUGAAACUCCAUUACAUUUUGCAGUUAAAUUUGGUUUAAAAAAUGUAGUUCGAGUUCUUGUUUCAUAUCCAUGUUGUAUAAAAACAUUACCAAAUAAAUAUAAACAACUACCAAUAGAUAUAAUUUGUAGUAGAACGUGUCAAGAAGAUGAAGAAUUGAAGAAAGAAAUACGUUUGCUACUGGAAGAUCAAUAUUAUGUACCUGUAUUAAGAUCAGAUGAUAAUUCAUUACAGCCAAUGAUUGGGGAACCUUUUUCUCCUACUAGUCCUUUGAGUUUAAAUACGGAUCCAAUUAGUCCACGUUUAGAAGUACGUGCAUUUGCUGGACCAAUGACAAAAUCUAGAGCAUUAGAAUUCAGAAAAAAGUGGAAAACACCUCCACGUCUUUGUAUGACUCCAAUUAAAAAAACUGAUGAUGAAUCAAAUGUUAUAGAUAGUCCUACUAAUAAUUUAACUUUGAGAUUACAAGAUGCAGAAAAAGGUCUUGAACGAGUUGGAAGAGACUUAGCAGAAGAAUAUCAAGUAUCAUGGAAAGAAUAUUGGCCAUUUUUAAAUGAUUUUGCAGAUUUUCGUACUAAAGAAGGUUUAAUAAAACUUGAAAAAUAUUUAGAACAUAAAUUUCAAGAUCAAUUAUUUCGUUAUAAUCAGACUUCAAAUAAUGUAAUUAAUUCAAACAAAAAUCUAAAAACAAAAUUACAAAUUGAUGAAAUAGACUAUUUAUGUAAUAAGUUACAAUCAUGGUCAUUACUUACAUCAAAUAAUCAAGAUCAAAAUAAUAUGAAUUAGAAUUUUUUACACCACCAUCAUCACCACAAUUAACAAUAGAUAGUUCUGAUGAUGAAAUGCAAAAUGCAGAAGAAGGUUUUGGAACAUUUCUUGAAGGGCCAGUACCAACAAAAUUGGAUUAUGCUGUUUAUAAUGCAGUGUCAACAUUACUUAAUUCCAUUACAUAUCCAAAUAUUUAUCGCUGGCAACAUGACAUGCAACUUACUAUGAAACGUGAUUUACAUAGGUAUCAAUUUCUUGUCCUUUUGUAUUUAUAAGAAAUGAUUAAUAUUAUCUUUUU
rnacentral:misc_RNA from 1 species